AGCUCCCCCAACAACGUCGACCUCAAUCAGCUUAAGAAGCUCGCUUUAUAACUAUGAAGUUCGCUGGGCUCACUGUCAUCCUUGGCUUUGCCGCAUUUGUCGGUUGGGCUGAAGCAGGAAUUCUACAUCAAAGAAAAGUGUUGCAAGACUUCGUUGAGAAGUCUGACCUGCAACUCAGGCAACUCAAGAAACUACUACAAGGUGC